rnacentral:rRNA from 1 species
GAUGAACGCUGGCGGCGUGCCUAAUACAUGCAAGUCGAGCGAACAGAUAAGGAGCUUGCUCCUUUGACGUUAGCGGCGGACGGGUGAGUAACACGUGGAUAACCUACCUAUAAGACUGGGAUAACUUCGGGAAACCGGAGCUAAUACCGGAUAACAUAUUGAACCGCAUGGUUCAAUAGUGAAAGGCGGCUUUGCUGUCACUUAUAGAUGGAUCCGCGCCGUAUUAGCUAGUUGGUAAGGUAACGGCUUACCAAGGCAACGAUACGUAGCCGACCGGAGAGGGUGAUCGGCCACACUGGAACUGAGACACGGUCCAGACUCCUACGGGAGGCAGCAGUAGGGAAUCUUCCGCAAUGGGCGAAAGACUGACGGAGCAACGCCGCGUGAGUGAUGAAGGUCUUCGGAUCGUAAAACUCUGUUAUCAGGGAAGAAAAAAUGUGUAAGUAACUGUGCACAUCUUGACGGUACCUGAUCAGAAAGCCACGGCUAACUACGUG